rnacentral:rRNA from 1 species
GAUGAACGCUGGCGGCGUGCCUAACACAUGCAAGUCGAACGAAGCUUGACGGAUGAUUUCUUCGGAAUGAAACCAGAUAUGACUUAGUGGCGGACGGGUGAGUAACACGUGAGCAACCUGCCUUUCAGAGGGGGAUAACGGCUGGAAACGGUCGCUAAUACCGCAUGAUGUGUUCGGAUGGCAUCAUCUGAACAUCAAAGAUUUAUCGUUGAAAGCUGGGCUCGCGUCUGAUUAGAUAGUUGGUGGGGUAACGGCCUACCAAGUCUACGAUCAGUAGCCGGACUGAGAGGUAGAACGGCCACAGGGGGACUGAGAUACGGCCCAGACUCCUACGGGAGGCAGCAGUGGGGAAUAUUGCACAAUGGGGGAAACCCUGAUGCAGCAGCGCCGCGUGAAGGAUGACGGUUUUCGGAGUGUAUACUUCUUUUCUUAGUGACGAAGACAGUGACGGUAGCUAAGGAAUAAGCAUCGGCUAACUACGUG